rnacentral:lncRNA from 1 species
CAAAAAUAAAAAAAAAAAAUACUUGAGGGGCACCUCGGUGGCUCAGUCAGUUAAGUGUCCAGCUCUUGAUCUCGGCUCAGGUCAUGAUUUCACAGUUGAUGAGAUCAAGCCCCGAGUUGGGCUCUGUGCUGACAGUGCAGGUGGAGCCUGCUUGGGAGUCUCUCUUUCUCCCUCUCUCUGCCCCUCCCCCUCCUGCACACACAUCUCUCUCUCAAAAAUAAACAUUAUUUUUAAAUGUUUUAUUAUUUUUGAGAGAGAAAGGAGCAUGAGCGGGGGAGGGGCAGAGAGAGGGAGACACAGAAUCAGAAGCAGGCUCCAGGCUCUGAGCUGUCACCACAGAGCCUGAUGUGGGGCUUGAACUGGGGAACAGUGAGAUCAUGACCUGAGCCAAAGCCAGAGAGCUAACCGACUGAGCCACCCAGGUGCCCCCCAAAAUAAACUUUUUUUAAAAAGUAUUUGAGGGGCACCUGGGUGACUCAGUCGGUUAAGCAUUCAACUUCAGUUCAGGUCAUGAUCUCACAGUUCAUGGGCUCGAGCCCCACAUCGGGCUGUCUGGUCUCAGCACAGAGCCUGCUUUGGAUCCUCUGUCUCCUUGUCUCUCUCUGCUCCUCCCCUGCUCAGCUUUCUCUCUCUCUCUCUCUCUCUCUCUCUCUCUCAAAAAUAAAACAUUUAAAAAUUAAAAAAAUAAAAAUAAAAAUUUUAAAAAGUACUUGGGAGAUAAGGGAGCAGCAGCUUGGUGUGAGCUCUGCCCCACGUUCCUCCACCUUUCCCUUCCCUCACCAGGCUAUGAAGGUCCCAGGUCCCCUGUACACGCUUGAUGGCACCCCUUUGUCCUUCUCCCAUGCCCCUUCUCCAUUCUGGGAGGAAUAAGGCAUGUAAGGCCGGACCUUAGACCACCACCACCUUCUUCAGCACUGCUGGCUGACUGGGGGCAAGAGGCAGCAUAGUGGCAAGUGCCCUGAACUUGUAGUCAGACAGGCCUGAGUACUAGUCUUGGCUCCGUCACUUACUAGCUGGAUGCCCUAGGGCAAGUAACCUCUCCGAGCUUUCAUUUCCUUAUCCACAAAAUGGGGAUGGAGGAAAUCACUAAUUUUGCAAGAUUGUUGGGAGGACUCUGUUCACAUAUGUCAGAGAAAUUUGUGUAUGAUAAAGUGCUUUGCCAAAGACAGGGGUGGAGCGCCUGGGUGGCUCAGUCGGUUGUGUCUGACUCGGUUUAGGAUCAGGUCAUGAUCCCAAGGUUCAUGGGUUCGAGGCCUGUGUCAGGCUCUGACAGUGCAGAGCCUAUUUGGGAUUCUCUCUCCCUCUCCCUCUCUCUCUCUCUCUCUCUCUCUCUCUCUCUCUCUCUCUCUCCCUCUCCCCCUUUGUCUUAAAAUAAAUAAAUAAACUUAAAAAAAGGGGAGUGAUGGCGGCCUCCAGGAAGGGGCCCUCCCUGCCUGGCAGAAGUGAGGGAUGGGGGGUGGGGACGGGGCAGCUGAGGGACCCCUUUUGGACCAAACACUUCCCUCCCUCUUGCCUGCCAUGGGGUGUCAGCGUUCCCAAGUGAGGGGUGGUGGGGAAGCCUGGGGCCAGAGAUUCCCUGAACCCACCUUCGGAGAAGGUAGACGCAUCAGUGCUAGACGCCACGCCAGCCAGCAGGUGUCGUCUCUCCCAGCUGGGUAACCUGUUUACAUCUGAGAGAGUACAGAGUGGCAACAGCAGCAGCACCCCUUUCCUCCCACCAGCCAUUCACUCUUCAAACAUCUCCUGAGAAGCUCCACCAGCCCCCUGGAGAUACAGAAAUUAAAACAGGCACCCAACAGUCCCUGCUCUCAAGGGGCUGGGGGAGGGGUGAGGAGAGGGACGCCAAUAAACAUCCACCAAUAAAAUGACACAAAUCAGGGUCUCCAAUCCAGCCUGCUUUUCCUGAGCACACGGUCAAUAUCCUCUUGGGCGUUCCCCAAACCUCUUAGGCUGGCAUGUCCCACACGAACCUAUCAUCUUCUCCCUACCUUCCAUGAACCAUCUCUUGUCUCUUCCAUUUCAGAGAGGAAUAGGCAUCCCAGCUAGGAAUCUAAGGAUCAUUCUUUACCUCACCUCCACACCACCUUGAUGAUGCGAGUCUCGCCAUACCUACCUCUAUGUUGGUUGAAACCUUCAUUAUCUCUAAGACAGCUGCAGGGGCCUCCUGCAAUAUAGUGGGCACUGGCCCACUAUAUUCCUUCUGUUUAACAGCAUUCCACUGCCUUCAGGAUGCGGUGCAAACUCCUUAUCAUGACAUAACUGGCCCCCCAGGACCCAGCCCCUGGUUCCUUCCUCAGUCACAAGUUUCUCUCACCCAUCCAUCCUUCCUCCCACCCCUCCCUUCUCCAUUCUUUCUCUCCUGCCUCCCACUCCCCAGAAACACCUGUUCACCUUGGAAAGAACAAAGCUAGCUAUCCAAGUAGAAUUGGUCACACAUGUCGUAUACCCUUUACCCUGCCAUGGUACUUCAUGAAGUUAUUUCACAGCAACUUGAGAACCCAUAUUUUAUCUGCCUCUGAAAAGUGCUCAGUAAAUACUGGGUUGGUCUUUUUUUUUUUUUUUGAAGACUAUGAGUAAAAUAGAAUAAACCCACUAUUGGAACCACACACAAAGAAGCUACAGCAUUGGAGGUUCUGCCCAGGGUUCAAAGCCAGGGACUUUUCUAGGAAAAGAGAAUUAACCCAGGAUGAGCAUCCUCCCAAUGUUACGCACUGUGCUGGGCUUUUAGAAUAUGCUUUUGAUUCUAAUGUUUUUAUUUAUUUUUGAGACAGAGAGAGACAGAGCAUGAGCAGAGGAGGGGCAGAGAGAGAGGGAGACACAGAAUCAGAAGCAGGCUCCAGGCUCUGAGCUGUCAGCACAGAGCCCGACGAGGGGCUUGAACUCACAGACUGAGAUCAUGACCUGAGCUGAAGUCGGACGCUCAACGGACUGAGCCACCCAGGUGCCCCUGCUUUUGAUUCUAAAUCACCACCACAAUCCAGUCUGUGGAUGGGGACUCAGAGACUCAGGAAAAAGCCUGUUCAAAGACAAGUUAAUAGGGGUUCCUGGGUGGUUCUGUCAGUUAAGUGUCCAAUUUCAGCUCAGGUCAUGAUCUCAUGGUCCGUGAGUUUGAGCCCCAUGUCGGGCUCUGUGCUGACAGCUCAGAGCCUGGAGCCUGCUUCAGAUUCUGUGUCUCCCUCUCUCUCUGUCUCAAAAAUAAAAAUUAAAAAAAAAACAUUAAAAAAAAAAAGACAAGUUAAUAGAUGGCAGAGGAAAGAGCUCUGUAUGACCUGUGCUCUUGUAGCCCUGUCUACUUGGGGUUCCUAUCCAAACCCCAUCCUGCUAGCUGUCACUUCCUACUGCACCUGUUUUCCAGCUCCAACACAGCCAAUUCUUCAUCCUCUGUUUUUACUCAUUCCUGACUUCACAACCUCCCAUAUCCAGCCUCCACCCUAAGGUCAGACAGAAGGAGUCAGAGGAACCUGAGCCAGUGUCAGGAUUCAAAUUCUGCUUUAUCUGACUCCACUGUUUUUGCUGUCUCCGGAGUCACCAUGAAGGAGGCUUGUAGACAGGAUCCACUGACUAACUCUUCCCAAAACCCCAAGAAGCCCUGACAAUCAUAACUCCUUUUGCCAAGGGGUGAGAUUUAGUAACUCUCCUCAGAUCUGAGGAAGGCAAUCUGCUCUCUAGUUUCACAGACAGAAGGGGAGCUCCUACUGAAGCAGCAGUCCAUCGCUCCUGCAGGAGAAAUAAUGGUGGCGGGACACAGAGCGAGCUUCAUAAUGAAAUGAGGAGAGUGAUAGCUUGAAAGGAAGAGGGAGGCUUGUGGUCUUUUUCUCGGUAGGUAAUUCAUCCGGAGAACAGGGGUCUAACUCAAAACUCACAGGUGAUGCUCAUUUGUACAGAAUCUUCUCAGUCCUGCGGGCUGAGGAACUCCCCCUGACCUUGUGGCACAGGUGGGGCGGAGUUCCAGGUUGGGCACCAAAGCAGCUGAAUGGGGGAGGAAGGGUGGGGGAAAGGGAGAAAGGAAAGGAAGAAGGGAGAAGGAGGGAGCAAGGCAGGACAGUCUUCUGGGAAAUGCCGCUCCGGCUCCGCCCACAUCUGAAGGCGAUUGUGAUGUCACGCGUGGAGCCCCCAGACUCCUUCCUCCCCUUAGAGUCAAUGAAACCUCCUGCCCCAGCCUGGCGACUGGGUGGGUGCUGGACCAGGGCUCCAGACAGGCCCCGAAUUUCUUAGGCAGCAGCCGGGGCCCGGCUGCGACAAGGCAAGGCCUUCCAGCCUACAGAACCCGUGUUAGCAGCUCGGGCUCCAGCCAGACAGGCACAGCCCAACCCGCAGGCGUUCCCCAGAGCCUCAGCACCCCAGUCCUCAAUCAUUGGUCCGCGGCUCGGCGUGAGCCCGCCCCCAGGCCCUAACUCCGCCCAGCCCGGCCUCUGGUCCCGCCUCCUUCUCCAGGCUCUUUCCAGUUCUACACUCUCCUUGUGUGCCACGCCCCCAGCUCGAAACCCACCCCCAAACUCCUGCCCCGCCCCUUCCUUACCAGUGCUGUUCUCAUCCCAGGCUCUGGUAUUGUCCUUAGCCUUUUCCUUAGUCCACCUUUUCAUCGUCAGUGUCGUCCUGACCCACAUCGCUCAGCCCAGUUCUUCGUCGCUACAAGACUCUUCCUUGCAGAAGUCCAAUCCUGAACCUCAGCUUGGUCGAGGCAACCGUAAACCCCAAUCUCCGCUUCACCCCAGUCCAGCCCUUAACUCCGCCUCAUGCUUGCCCAACCCCUCCCUCCACCUUCCCCCGGUUCUGCGUUGUGUUAGCCCAAUCUAAACUUCAACGGCGCUCUUCAUCCGGGGCCUCCCAGCUCUUCCAGGCCCCUUUUUGUCCCACCUUUAAUUUUAGUACCUCCCCUUUCUCUCAGGCCUAAACCCUAGCUUGGCCGCUGAGGCCCAGCCCUCAGUCCCAUCCCUAGUUUCUUUCCAGACCUACUCCCAGCUCUUAGUCCUGUCCCCAGAUUUUAGCCCCGCCCCUAUCCCCGUUCUUAGCCCCGCCCCAGCCAUUCUCUCAACCUCAAGCUUCGGUCGCAAUCCAGCCCCUCCCAACCCUUCCGGAACUCAGCCCCGGCCCUUGAGCCCCUCCCGCCUCCCCCCAGCCUACCGAGGUCCCUCCCGCUCUGGAGCAUAGUCUCCGACUCAACGCGCGUUCGCGCUCUCUCUCUCUCUGCCCUCAGGCCCCUCCACAGGAGUCCAAGGCCCACCACUCUAGGUGAGGACUUGAUGUCGGCUCCCAGCCCCUUGUGGCACCCCACCCCCACCCCAGAGCCCCUUCCCAGCUCCUGGCCCCCACAGGCGCCCUGUCCCAGAGACAAUACCAGCCAAUAAAGAUGUCCACAUAGAGCCAGGAUCUUGGUUACAAUUCCCCCAAAACAAUUAUUAAAAUAGUUAAGGCUUUUGAGCUCUUAAUUUUUUUUACAUGUAUUUAUUUUUGAGAGACAGAGCACACGUUGGGGAGAGGCAGAGAGAAUGAGACACAGAAUCCGAAGCAGGCUCCAGGCUCCGAGCUGUCAGCACAGAGCCCCAUGCGGGCCUCGAACUCACAAACUGUGAGAUCAUGUAGAGUGGGACGCCUAACCGACUGAGUCACCCAGGCGCCCCCCCCCUCCUUUUUUUAGAGCUCUUCUUAUGUGUGUUAGUAGUGUUUUAUUUAUUCCGCAAACUCAGGUGUCUCCAUAGGCUUGCCUGUGAGGGGAGCAGGGCCGGCUGCAUUCAUAGUAACCUACUCUAUGCAUACAUAAAAAGUCUACUCAUCACACGUGGACUAAUGCCAUAUGUACACAUGCACAUGCCCCUCACAGACAUCACCCAGAACAUUGAACCAUAUCCUUGCUCCCACACCCUAUGAAGCACAAACAUUCCACAGCAGUUCCGCAGUGCAGGCUUCACACACACACACACACACACACACACACACACACACACACACACACCAUUGAGUUACAUACAGGCUCUGGGCAACACCACAAGACAAGAGGUGAUGACCACAGUCCUGUUAGGGAAGAGAGAUGGAAAAAAAUACUUCUUUGAGGGGAACAGUGAGGACUUAAAUGGGGGAACCUCCUGACUCAGAGCAUGCCUUUUUCUUUUUGAAAGGGAAAAAAUGAGCUGUUUUUCUUUUCUUUUUCUUUUUUCUAAGUAAGCUCUAGGCCCAACAUGGGGCUUGAACUCACACCCUGAGGUCAAGAGUUGCAUGCUCCACCGACUGAAACAGCCAGACUGUUUUGUUUUGUUUUGAACUUAGUUAUUUAAUCCUUUUUUUUUUCAUUUUUUUAAAUGUUUUUAUUUAUUUUUGAGACAGAGAGAGACAGAGCAUGAGCAAGGGAGGGGCAGGGAGAAGGGGAGACAUAGAAUCUGAAGCGGGCUCCAGGCUCUGAGCUGUCAGCACAGAGCCUGACGCGGGGCUCGAACUCACAGAAUAUGAGAUCAUGACCUGAGCUGAAGUCGGACGUUCAACUGACUGAGCCACCCAGGCGCCCCUUUAAUCCUGUUUUAAAAUGUAAAAUGAGAGGCUUAGUCAGUUAAGCCUCUAACUUUGGCUCAGGUCAUGAUCUCACUGCUUGUGUGUUUGAGUCCAGCAUUGGGCUCUGUGCUGACAACUCAGAGCCUGGAGGCUACUUCACAUCUGUGUCUCCUCUCUGCCCCUCUCCCACUCUAUUGCUCUGUCUCUCUCUCAAAAAUAAACAAUAAAUAAUAAUAAUAAUAAUAAUAAUUUUAAAUGAUACUACUCAUACAUUUAUGUUUAUAUCACUAAUAUAGUUAGUUGUUAGAUAACACAUCUUCUGAGUAAAAGCCAAGCCCAUACCCACUCUGGGCCUUCUGGUCAACCCAAAGAGCAUGCAAAACUCAGUCACUCCUUACUGUGUUCCCCUCAGGGAAAUAUUUUUUAUUUUAUUGUAUUUUCUUAAUGUUUAUUUUUGAGGUGGGGGGAACAGAGGAUCCUAAGCAGGCUCCACGCUGACAGUUGAGAGUGCAAUGUGGGGCUCGAACCAUGAGAUCAUGACCUGAGCACAAGUAGGACAUUUAACCAACUGAGCCACCCAGGCGCCCCCAGAGAAGUAGGAAGGGAAGGUAGGAAGAGGAUGGAAAAAAAAGAAGAAAGUAUCCAAUGGAAGAAAUCUGGGAACAAGCACCAAGUAGGAGGACACAGGUGGGGAUAAGGAACCAAAGGAAAGAGCUCUCAAAACCAAACACUGAGAGUCCAGGAUAGCCCUCCAAAUCUGGUUCCUGAGCUCCCAGCCUUUCUGAGGCCUGCCCAGGGGUCAGGUAUGGCCAGAAUCCCACAGGAAGCUCCGGUCCCAAGACAGUCAUACAGUUCUGCCCAUUCCACAUCCCUCAUCCCCAACAAAGGACUCCAGUCCCCAAACUGCUAAUAACAGAGAUUUUAAUGCAUAAGGCACAGUGUAAGGCUUGGAUCAUUAAGCAUCCUCAUACUCAAGGGGUCCAGCAGGCUAAGCAAAAGCAGCAGGGACUACCUCCCCACUGCUGGGCAGCCCGGAGAGCCCCUGGGGAGGGAGGACAUCUAGUCUUUGGCAUGGUGUCUGGGGCAGGAAGUGACUAGCAUGGUCCCUGCUACCCCUCCAGGGGUACUGCCACGAAGGGGCAGCUCUUUGGUCUGGAAAAACAAUCAGUGCAAAUGUCCAGGGUCGAGCUCUAGGGCAAUCAAGGUGGCACAGUGCCCCAGGGCUGGCCAGUCUCUCGACCGUCCCCUUACCGCUCACGGGCAGCACGUGGGCUUCUUCUUGUUGGCAGUUAGGUAAAGGUUGCUGUCAUCACUGUUGAUGCCUGAAGAAGGGUGGGAAAUAUGUGAGGCAGGGAUGAGAGGUUCCCCGUGCUCCCUGCCACCCUCAUCCAGGUAGGCACUCACGGACAACAUCCCCAAUGCGCCGGGCCCCCGAUUUCUCCAGCUCAGCCAGCACGUUGGCCUCAAAGGUCAGUGCCGCCACACGGAAGAAGAAUUCCCGGACAUUUUCACCUGACACGUGGAGCAAACGGGUGCUUAGGGGCAGUUCCAAGCCUGGGGUCACUGGGCACAGCUGAAGGUAGAGGAAUGAGAGGCCAGGUAGGCGGGAGUGCCAUUUCAAAAGACCUGAAGCCGCUGACUCACCAGUGAGAGAUGAGACCGCCCAGUACUCAGCCUUCAUCUCUUGGGCCACCUUGAGUGCGUCUUUCUCCAUUAGCAUAUACUGAGCAGGAGUCUGACAGAAGGGCAGAGUCAGACGGCAAGGGUUGGGGAGGAGCCCCUCACCAAAACGGAAGUACCCCCUGACUGGCACACUUACACUCAAGUCCUUCUUGGAACCCACGAGGAAGAGAAGCACACUGGAAGGGUCGUUCUCCUUGAGUGCAUCAGCUAGCCACUGCCUGCCAUAGAGGGUAGACAAUCAAGGAUGAGUGAGCUGGACAGGCUCCUCCUGCUGUCACUCAUAUGCCCAUUACCCUCUCUCUGGUCCCCGAUGCAUUCUUCUUCACUACCGAUAUACCUGACCACCCCUCUUUUCUGAACCCUCUCUUCCCAAAGCUCCCAUUACAGUGCAGCAUCCCUACAUACUUGGUAUGUUCCAGGGAGGCCACAUCAUUCAGGUUGAAGACGAUGAUGAUGGCUGGAAAAGUGACAAAAACAGCUGACAUUACUGGCUCAUUUCCCAAAUCCCCCCAAGUCCUAGAUUGGAGGCCAGGAACACCCACCUGCCCCAUCUCACCCCCGCCCUUACCUUGAGCCCCUCGGUAAUAGGUUGAUGCAAUGCAUUUGAACCUCUCCUGUCCAGCAGUAUCCCAGCUGGGAGGAAGCAGGGGGUAAAACACGGGUAUGUGGGAGGGGCCUGUGAGGUGGGGUAUAGGUGCUGGGGGAAGGAAUGGCUGGAAGGUAUGGAGAAAGCACUCACAGCUGCAGACUGAAGGGGACGCCCAACACCUCAAAUCGUUCCAUCUCAAAGUCCACUCCAAUGGUGGCCUUGUAAUUCUUAUCAAAAGUAUCUUUGCAGAACCUGCAGGAGUACCAGAUGCUCUGGCCCUGAGCCCAGUCCACCUGGCUAGGUCUGGCUGAACCCUGCCCGGCCCAAACCAGCCCAACUAGAGGUGCCUUCUUACCUAUUAAUGAGACAAGUCUUCCCUACGGACAGGUCCCCCACCACAAUGACUUUGGAGAUCUUAAAUCUGCAGGACACAAAGGUGGGCAGGAGGAAUGAGCACUAACUCUUGCAACCUAGAGAGUCUCAAUGUUCCGUACUAGAUCUAUAACGUUAGCAGCACCCAGGCUGGGGUUACCAUAGGCACGGGGCCUCCCAGGCAGCUUGCCUGGACACACUUGCUGGGGAGGAGUGUUUUCUGCUUCAGCAUCAAAGAAACAUGAAUUGGAAUCCCAGUUCUUACACUUACUAGCUGUGUGACUUUGGACAAGUUACUUGGCCUCUCUGAGCCUCAGUUUCAACAUGUGUUAGGUAAAGAUUUAGUAUAUAUUCUAUUGGGUUGUUGUGACAAUUGAAAUAAGAUCAAUGUCCUAUAUUCUGAGACAUACCUCCCCUUCAGCCUCCACACAUACAUUUGAUAACAUCUCUGAAAUCAGGAUACAGCUUAAAAGUGAUGGUGUUUUCCAUUUAAUAAAAUACAGUAAUAGUAACCAACACACUGCCCGGGCACAUAGUAAAUGCUCAGUUAAUGGUUGGCAAGUGUUACUAGUAUUACCUUCUUUUAUCCAUAAUGGGACACAUCCCUCCAGGCACAUCCCCCUGCCCUAGGGCUCAAAUGUAUGGUAUGUGGGAAGCUGAGCUCCUGACCACACCAGCCCCGCACCUCCCCCUUGCACACCUUCUGUUUCAGGAAGUGAACUACCACCUUUCUACCCCACCCCAUUUCAUAGGACUCAUCACAAGCUUGCUGGGAAGAAAAGGGAGAACACGUGGAUAUAAAAAGGGGGAAUAACCAUAUAUAGCUGGGAGAAGCUGAAAUGGAGCCCCAGGGGUGCUUGUGCACCCUAGCUUUGACUACAGGGUUUCCUGAGCCUUCCUUUCUUUGUUAAGGGUGUCUAACUCACCCCACGGUGCCUGUCCGGUGCUCCUGGCAGGCGCAGGUGACGCGGGGGUUGAAGUCUCUGUGCACGUGCAAAGCGGCCUCCUUCCUCAGGCACUGAGAGGGAUCGAAGAAAAUGGGACUCACCCACUCCUGGCCCCUGUCCCGCAGCCAAGCUGCGCUGGGCGGGGGUAGGGGACCACCCAGAAGCAGCCGACCUAGCCGGGUGGCAGGGCUGGGCCCAAGCCUCUAACUGAUCUGGUGCCGCCUCCUCCCGCCCACACCCCACCGCAGCCAGAAGCCCGACGUGGCCCUGGAGCCUACCUGGGGCAGCUCCGCCAGGACGCGGUCCCUCCGCACCGGCGCCAGAAUGUUCAUCUCGCCUACGGCCUUGCGGGGAGCCCCGAGAAGGCACUGGAGCCUGAUCCGCCCCAGCGACCCGGGCCCGUGGAGACCCGACAAUCACCCGCGACCGAGGUGUCCCGACUAUAACUCUGGGCCACGGGGAGCCUCCAGGAGCUCGCGGCCUCGGAGACGCUACGACCACAGCGGGCCACGGGGAUGAAACAAUCAUCCGAGGCCGGGGCGAACCCACAAUCACCCGGGCCCGGGGGGUCCCGAAGAUGACUCGGGGGCGGGGAGACUCCUCCGCCGCCAAAUGGGGGCGGGAAGUCCCGUCCGGAGGGGGCCGGGCCCGCGCAGACCCCACAAUAACUCGGGGUCGGAUAGUUCCUACAAUGACUCGGGGCCGCGGUGACCCGACGACAACUCGGGGUUCAGGCGGCCCUACCAUAACAGAGCUGCCUGGGGGCGCGGAGCGGCCCCGCCGCACGGGGUCAGUGUGCUCAGGGAUGGCGCUGCAAGGCCCGCGGGCUGCUGGAGGAGGGGGCCUGGGUCCCAGACCGCAGCAGGACCUGGCGUCCCACUCAGCUCUCCCUCCGCGAGCGCUGUAACAUGAUCCCCGGAAAUUCCUGGAGAAGGGCCGCCCCCCGCCCCUCUCCCGGCAGCUCCCGGCCUCGCGGGCUGUCCCAACCUCCCCUCCUCUCCUCCCCACUGCGCUGCCCCAGCUCUGGCUACCCUUCCAGAUACCCCACGGGCACCGGGACCGCCUCCACGCAGGCUGGAACCUGUCCAGAUCGAGGUCUCCCAGGUUGCUCUCCCUUGCGACUCUGCGCCGGGCUGCGGCUUCAAGGGGACCCUUACCCAGGCAAACUGGUGAUGGAGAACCGUGAUUGCUGCGCAGUAUCUGGCUAGGCCAGGAACCCGCGGGGAGGGGAAAGGAGGAGAGAAGGGGCCCGAGGAGAGGCGGCGCUUCCCUCCUCAACUCCAGGCCCAGGACGUGACUCAUAGAGUCUGCCCUCGCUCGCCCUUCUGCCCUGGGAUAGGAUGGGGUGGGGGGAAGCACACAGGGGAUGCCAGGGUCGGAAUGGGAUGCUCACCGAGAAAAGAGACGUCUGAAGUCUGGUGUCUUUUCCUUCAAAGCGGUGUAGAUUGACGGGUGGGGAGGCUGAAGACCACGCCUGGAUGGAAGAUAAAGAAGGGGUAGGUAGACCUGAAACUCUGCCCUUUGGGUAGGUCACCGCUUUGGGACAUGGGGCCUUAGCUCUGGUAUAGGCGUUCUCUCUAGUCCCAUUGGAACCAACCCUCAAGGACAACUUUUCCGUUCUGCAGGAUAAAAGAGGGGUGUGGCACACAAUAAUUCUCACUGUCAAAGGGGGAGCCCUGGCUCCAAAGAGGAGAGGAGGAAGAAAGAAAGGUCAGGGUGGAGGUGGGAUAGACACAGACCCUCACAGAAGCAAACCUGAGCUUUACUAAAACUUGCUCUGUGUCAGGAACUGAUUUUGAGGAUGCAAACAUGACUGAAGCAAGGAUGGGAGGACUACUUAAAGGGAGGGGACUGUAAAUGAAAUUAUUCACAAGAAUUAGCAAAUCCUGGAGAAAUCUGUACACUGGGUGUUUGGAAUAUUGGUAGAGUUUCAAGAGUAUUAUUGGGAAAACACACAAAAUCUGACUGUCACAGGUAAAGAGGGGCAGAUGUGGCCACCUUCUACCUCCUCGGAUACUUUCCUCUUCCCCUCUGCCUGACUCAAACUUUUCUUUCUUUCUUUUUUUUUAAUUUUUAAAAAAUGUUUACUUAUUUAUUUUGAGACAGAGAGAGAGCCCGCGAGCGCGCAAACAUGGGGGCGUGGCAGAGAGAAAAUCCCAAGCGGGCUCCAAACUGUCAAUGUGGGGCUCCAACUCCCCAACCGUGAGAUCAUGACCUGAGCCAAAAUCAAGAGUCCCACGCUUAACCGGCAGCCACCUAGGCUCCCCUUGACUUUUUCUAACACCAAAUCACUGUUAUUGAUAAACUACAUCCCCUCUCUGGACCCAAAUUUCUACAGAUGUUGUUUGAAGGACUUGAACCAAAUUCUGCUCUAACGUUCUAGAACUUCUCUUUACUCUCCAAAUCAACCUAAUUAUAUUCACUUCAGUUUUCAGUGUUACUGUCUCCUGCAACUACGAUCCUCUUUCCUCAAGAUGGAAAGCGCUCAGGACCAAACGCAAGCGGCAGCUGGCUGCACCAUCCACCAUCCACCCGCAGCAGCAAAUAAACACGUGUCUCCAAAACACUACAACUCCCAAGAAGCUAUAGUGUCUUUCGAGGGAAGAGGUGGAGCAUGCUUAAUCACUCUGGGGAGGAAACUAAGCUUAACUACCAUUCCCGGCGGUCUCCGCGCCAUAGAUUAUCCAAUGAGCUUUAAAUGAAAAGUAUCGCGAUUCUUCCGUGAGACUUGGCUCUAUAAGCCCCUGGAAACAAGCCUCGGAAAUCCUUUUCACGAAGAUGGCGCCGAAGGCGAAGAAGGAAGGUCUGUGCUGGGGCUGGGGGUACCGCAGCUAGUUGGCCUGGGAUUCCCGCAGAGUGAACAAACUGGGAGGAUGGAGGCUGAGCUAGUUCUUGGGGUGUCUGCUCCGGAGCUGCUUCUAGCAUUCUGCCACUCUACGGCGCGCGUGGGCCCAGCCGCAUGGGCUGAGCUCCGUGACAGGGUUUGGGGAGGCAAGUCCGGCCGCCACCACCUGUCGGGGCUGCCAGACUGUUGGCUUUGGGGAACUACACGCAUCCAUAGGCCGGAGUUUCAUGUCUCCAGACCUGAGUUGUCCGCACCUAAUUUUCCUUUUUUCCACGUGUUAGACGGGGCCAUGAACAGUUAAAACUAUUAGAGUAUAUGUUGUCAAGUAUCAAGCAUUCGAUCAUUGCUAGGUGUUUUUUUUUUUUUUCGUCGUAUCGCUGGAGUUAUUCCAAGUUCGCCCCAGUACCGUGCAUAUGAUGGAAAAAUUGUAACCUCCUGAGACUUGUGAUGUCUUCAAAGGAACCGCUGAUGCACGUGUGCCUUGGAGCGCCCGCUAGGGGUCUUGAGGACGGAAGUGAAUGGUUUCUGAAUCCCGUGCCUUCAUAUUCUUUAUUUUAGCCCCUGCCCCUCCCAAAGCCGAAGCCAAAGCAAAGGCCUUGAAGGCCAAGAAAGCAGUGCUGAAAGGCGUCCACAGUCAUAAAAAAAAGAAGAUCCGUACGUCACCCACAUUCCGACGGCCCAAGACACUGCGUCUCCGAAGACAGCCCAAAUAUCCUCGAAAGAGCGCCCCCAGGAGAAACAAGUCAGUACUGCCCCUUUCCCAUGAAAAGAUAUUGGGUAUCCUCCAUUCGUAAUUUGGAAAUUUACCAGACCUACAGCACGCCUUGUCAAAUAUCUGUUGGUACCUAGUGUGCGUCUCUUAAUAGUGUGAAGAGAUUGUUAAUGCCCUAUUUAAGGACAAGAGGAGGCAUUUUGACAACAUUGGAAGGCUUUGUUUAAGACAACUCAGUGACUUCUGGUUAUUAGGUUAAUUAUUGCUUCGCAUAUGGUCAGGGUUUUAAAGUCUGCUUUCUUGGAGUAUAUAGUAGGACUUUGAUACAUGCUUUUGUUUUGGAGUUCCCUAUUACUGUAGGGGACAGUCCUUGAUGGUGACAGUGUGGGAUGAUUCUAGGUUGAUAAGGAUAUUUAAUAAUCUGUAUUAAUCAGAGAAGGCCUGCAGCGGUGUAUAGAAGCUUCUCAUUUACUCUCAACUCGUUAAACUCAAGGAAUAGUUGGGGGGAGGGGAGGGUUGGAGUUUUUGAGUAUUUGCCACACUACUGGUAAUAACUGACCUUAAAGGCCACAGAUUAAAACACCAGUAAUAAUUGCCACCUCCCACUGCUUUCCUAAGAAAAAGGCAGGAGUGGGUUCUGCCCCAUUUGGACCUAGGAGUUAGUGUGAGGAGAGGUUGAGACCUGAUGUCUAGCUUUAAAACAGGAAGCAGGUGUCCAGGUGAAUGGAGACUUGUUUCUCUGAAUUUCAGGGGGAAAGCUGUGUUGUAGGUGUGUUCAAGCCACUGUAGUUUUAACUUAGGCUGUAAAUAAGGGUUGCUCUCAGUUGAUGGCCCUCAAACCAGUUUUCACCAACCAGAGGGAGCAGAAAUGUCUGGCUAAUCUCCUGAUGAAGCACCAACAUUCUUUGGAACUCUAGCCUGGGUUUUAAGAUCCCAUAGUCCAGCUUUGUGCUCUAGGGGUAAGUUGUUUAACCUCAGAGGUGUCAAGUUUUCUUCCAGAAGUUUGCCCUCCAAAAUGUUGAGGUCAAAUAAAUAAUGGGGGGGGGGUUGGAACUCAGAGCUGAUUCUUUAAUCACUUAAAGGGUGAAAGUCGUUCAAGCAGAAGAGUACAGGGUUCUGUCCCCCAGGCUGAGGUUCCAGGUCCCUAAGUUACAGGGUGCAGAUGAUGACACUGUUUAGCGACCAAAGUCUGACAAAAAUGAUUGCUACUUUAUUGUCUGAUGCACCUGGGCUCUUCUGGCUUUGAGAUCUAAAAGAGACCUAAUCCUUUUAUUGGACCCAGGCCAGAUGACACCAUUUUGCCUCUUCCCCAGGCUUGACCACUAUGCCAUCAUCAAGUUCCCCCUGACUACAGAGUCGGCCAUGAAGAAAAUAGAAGACAACAACACUCUUGUGUUCAUUGUGGAUGUCAAGGCCAACAAGCACCAGAUCAAACAGGCCGUGAAGAAACUCUAUGACAUUGAUGUGGCCAAGGUCAACACUCUGAUCAGGUGAGCCAAGAAAUCUGCAUGGAGUCAGUAGGUUUCACAGCUUGCAAGCCUUGAGAAAUGAGUGAUUUCUGCUGUAGUUAGUCCUUUGUAUCUAUACAGACUUUAGAGGACACAUUAGUUCUCCUGCCUCUAGGACUUGAUGUAUGGAGUUAGUGUUCAUUUUCUUGAUCCCUAUACCUCUAGACAGGCCCUAGAGUAAGAUAAAAUUUAUGUCAGAUUACUUGGAGUUAAGUUUUAAAAUGUUAUAUGGUGUUCCAUGUAAAAGGGAGUUGACUUCAUUUGUGGCUUGGUGGCAUCCCUAGCCUCCUGUGCAAAUGCUGGAAAAGACAUGGACAAAGGAACCACUGAUGUGCCAUAAAGACUAGGGGAAGAAGGGAGGGUUUGGGGGCUGUGAGAACAGCGGGAACUAAAGCUUCCUUCAUCCUAGGCCCGAUGGAGAAAAGAAAGCAUAUGUUCGACUGGCUCCUGACUAUGAUGCUUUGGAUGUUGCCAACAAAGUAAGCUUCCUUUGCUGUUAACUCACCCCCGAAGUGCAAGUGAUGUGUCCAUUACUGACCAAAACCUGACUUGCUGAUUUAGUCUUAAAUGACUGCACCCCUAUCCUUAAUAGGCACUUUCCUUGCCUUAUUUUUGCUUUUUAAUCAUGACCUUCCAGCUUAAUCUUCACAUUUUAUCUCCCAGUAACAAAGCUCCCCUUUUGUUUUUCAGAUUGGGAUCAUCUAAACUGAGUCCAGCUGGCUAAAUCUAAAUAUAAAUUUUUUCAACAUAUAUGUU